AAGUGGCGACAAGUAGAGGACCCCAGUUGCAGCCAGGAGACAGGAGACAGGAUCUCCUCCUCCUGCGCAGCUUGACCCUGGCAAACAGCUGGGCUCCAGUGGGGACAAUGAUCGGCCUCUAAUCCCUUCAAGGUGGGGCUCCCGAGGAAGCUCACCCGUUUUACAGAUUUUUCAACACUGUUGCACUACCACAGGGUAUGGAUCAUGAAUCUGUACAACCAUUGGAUGGCUACACAGAGGAGUCUGGUCUGUUAUUGAUCCAGUUUUCCUAAGCAGAAACAGGGUUUCAUCCUAGCCACAUUAAGAUGCAAUUCAGUCUAAUUCACUAAAUAAUAUCAAAUACCAAAAUGUGCACUACCAAGUGCAAAAGCCACCAGGGCCUGCUUAGCUUUAAAUGCUAGCACUUAACCCGCGUGUUCACUCUGUUCAACCUUCCUCUGACUCCUUAAAACAGGUCUCAGCAGUAAACACAGGAGCUUAUUUUCACUGCCCUUUACUUAGAAAUACUUGAGUUUUCUUCCUAGAUGUCCUGAGAGCUGAAAUAACUAAAAGCAAAUUUUAUUGUCAUAUGUGUAUGGAUAUAUAUAUAUAUCGUAUGAUUUUAAAAUGUAGAAACAAAUGCACAAGAGGAUGGAAACAAAGAACUAUGCAAUGCUGUGGAGAUUAUGAGUGCUAUAUUGUUUAAUUUUUCAAGUUAUCUUUUAACAUUUUUUUUGCAAUAAAAAAUAACAUUUGACAAGCCA
rnacentral:lncRNA from 1 species